GUUGUGGCACUGGCGGUCUUUCUCCUGCGCCUAAACGUUGAGCUAGUUCAGACCAUUAGCAUGACCACUGGAACAACCAUACACACCACCAAUGUAAAAAUUAAACUGUUCUCUUUAAAAGUUAAAAAUUAAACUGUUCUCUUUAAAAGCUAGUUCAGAGUCUGUCUAGUUAAAUUUGAUUUCAAUUUCUUUGAUGCUGCUUUCUUUAAAAAUCAUUGCAGGGAUUGUAUAUGAAGGUGAGCCAGAGGUAAAGCCCGAAUAUUACAGAUGAAGUUCACAUCUGUUUAUCAGUCUGUAUGAUUAUUGAUUUUGUCGUUAGCAUCUGUUUCAUCGUUGUUGGAGGACCUGUUAAAAU
rnacentral:lncRNA from 1 species